rnacentral:rRNA from 1 species
UACGUAGGGUGCGAGCGUUAAUUGGAAUUACUGGGCGUAAAGCGUGCGCAGGCGGUUUUGUAAGCCAGAUGUGAAAGCCCCGGGCUUAACCUGGGAAUGGCAUUUGGGACUGCAAGGCUUGAGUGCGGCAGAGGAGACUGGAAUUCCUGGUGUAGCAGUGAAAUGCGUAGAUAUCUGGAGGAACACCGGUGGCGAAGGCGGCGUCCUGGACCAACACUGACACUGAGGAGCGAAAGCCAGGGGAGCAAACGGG